AAGUCGUAACAAGGUUUCCGUAGGUGAACCUGCGGAAGGAUCAUUACCGAAUUGUCAACACGAGUUGUUGCUGGUCCUCAAACGGGGGCAUGUGCACGCUCUGUUCACACAUCCACUCACACCUGUGCACACUCUGUAGUUCUGUGGCCUAGGGGACUCUGUCCUCUUGCCGUGGUUCUAUGUCUUUACACACACACUGUAAUAAAGUCUUAUGGAAUGCAUGUCGCGUUUAACGCAAUACAAUACAACUUUCAGCAACGGAUCUCUUGGCUCUC
rnacentral:misc_RNA from 1 species